rnacentral:rRNA from 1 species
AGAGUUUGAUCCUGGCUCAGAACGAACGCUGGCGGCGUGCCUAACACAUGCAAGUCGAGCGAGAAAGUAGCAAUACGAGUAAAGCGGCGGACGGGUGAGUAACGCGUAGGUAAUCUACCCUUCAGUGGGGAAUAACGUUCCGAAAGGAACGCUAAUGCCGCAUAUGGAUAACGGUCGUUGGACCGUUAUGCAAAGGGGGCUCUCGCAAGAGGCUCUCGCUGAUGGAUGAGCCUGCGUCCCAUUAGGUAGUUGGUGAGGUAACGGCUCACCAAGCCGACGAUGGGUAGCUGGUCUGAGAGGACGACCAGCCACACUGGAACUGACACACGGUCCAGACUCCUACGGGAGGCAGCAGUGGGGAAUAUUGCGCAAUGGAGGAAACUCUGACGCAGCGACGCCGCGUGGGUGAUGAAGGCCUUCGGGUUGUAAAGCCCUGUCGGCUGGGAAAAAGGUGAUCGUGCUAAUACCACGAUUGCUUGAUGGUACCAGCAAAGGAAGCACCGGCUAACUCUGUGCCAGCAGCCGCGGUAAUACAGAGGGUGCAAGCGUUGUUCGGAAUUACUGGGCGUAAAGGGCGUGUAGGCGGUUUAGCAAGUCAGAUGUGAAAUCCCAGGGCUUAACUCUGGAAGUGCAUUUGAAACUGCUAGGCUAGAGUGCAGUAGAGGAUGGCGGAAUACCCAGUGGAGAGGUGAAAUUCGUAGAUAUUGGGUGGAACACCGGUGGCGAAGGCGGCCAUCUGGGCUGUAACUGNNGCUGAGGCGCGAGAGCGUGGGGAGCAAACAGGAUUAGAUACCCUAGUAGUCC